rnacentral:rRNA from 1 species
AGUGAACGCUGGCGGUAGGCCUAACACAUGCAAGUCGAACGGCAGCACAGUAAGAGCUUGCUCUUACGGGUGGCGAGUGGCGGACGGGUGCGGAAUACAUCGGAAUCUACUUUUUCGUGGGGGAUAACGUAGGGAAACUUACGCUAAUACCGCAUACGACCUACGGGUGAAAGCAGGGGAUCUUCGGACCUUGCGCGUUUGAAUGAGCCGAUGUCGGAUUAGCUAGUUGGCGGGGUAAAGGCCCACCAAGGCGACGAUCCGUAGCUGGUCUGAGAGGAUGAUCAGCCACACUGGAACUGAGACACGGUCCAGACUCCUACGGGAGGCAGCAGUGGGGAAUAUUGGACAAUGGGCGCAAGCCUGAUCCAGCCAUACCGCGUGGGUGAAGAAGGCCUUCGGGUUGUAAAGCCCUUUUGUUGGGAAAGAAAAGCAGCAGGUUAAUACCCCGCUGUUCUGACGGUACCCAAAGAAUAAGCACCGGCUAACUUCGUG